rnacentral:tRNA from 1 species
GGGGGUAUAGCUUGGUGAUAGAGCAUUUACCUGCAGCUCAAGGGAUCCCUGGUUCAAAUCAGUGUGCCCCCU